GGCUCGUUGUUCUAGGGGUAUGAUUUUCGCUUUGGGAGCGAGAGGUCCCGGGUUCGAAUCCCGGACGAGCCC
rfam:Astyanax mexicanus chromosome 13, whole genome shotgun sequence.